AACGCGAAGAACCUUACCAAGGUUUGACAUGGACCGAAAACUCAUGGAGACAUGGGGUCCUUCGGGGCGGUUCACAGGUGGUGCAUGGCUGUCGUCAGCUCGUGUCGUGAGAUGUUGGGUUAAGUCCCGCAACGAGCGCAACCCUCGUCCCAUGUUGCCAGCGGGUUAUGCCGGGGACUCAUGGGAGACUGCCGGGGUCAACUCGGAGGAAGGUGGGGAUGACGUCAAGUCAUCAUGCCCCUUAUGUCUUGGGCUGCAAACAUGCUACAAUGGCCGGUACAAAGGGCUGCGAGCCCGUGAGGGUGAGCGAAUCCCGGAAAGCCGGUCUCAGUUCGGAUCGGGGUCUGCAACCCGGCCCCGUGAAGCCGGAGUCGCUAGUAAUCGCGGAUCAGCAACGCCGCGGUGAAUACGUUCCCGGGCCUUGUACACACCGCUAGUC
rnacentral:rRNA from 1 species